UGGGGAAUAUUGCACAAUGGGCGAAAGCCUGAUGCAGCAACGCCGCGUGAGGGACGACGGCCUUCGGGUUGUAAACCUCUUUUAGCAAGGAAGAAGCGAAAGUGACGGUACUUGCAGAAAAAGCGCCGGCUAACUACGUGCCAGCAGCCGCGGUAAUACGUAGGGCGCAAGCGUUAUCCGGAAUUAUUGGGCGUAAAGAGCUCGUAGGCGGUUUGUCGCGUCUGCUGUGAAAACCCGAGGCUCAACCUCGGGCCUGCAGUGGGUACGGGCAGACUAGAGUGCGGUAGGGGAGAUUGGAACUCCUGGUGUAGCGGUGGAAUGCGCAGAUAUCAGGAAGAACACCGAUGGCGAAGGCAGAUCUCUGGGCCGUAACUGACGCUGAGGAGCGAAAGGGUGGGGAGCAAACAGGCUUAGAUACCCUGGUAGUCCACCCCGUAAACGUUGGGAACUAGUUGUGGGUCCAUUCCACGGAUUCCGUGACGCAGCUAACGCAUUAAGUUCCCCGCCUGGGGAGUACGGCCGCAAGGCUAAAACUGCAAAUGAAUUGACGGGGUCAUAGCUGUUUCCU
rnacentral:rRNA from 1 species